UACGGAGGGAGCUAGCGUUGUUCGGAAUUACUGGGCGUAAAGCGCGCGUAGGCGGCUUUGUAAGUUAGAGGUGAAAGCCCGGGGCUCAAUCCCGGAACUGCCUUUAAGACUGCAUCGCUUGAAUCCGGGAGAGGUGAGUGGAAUUCCGAGUGUAGAGGUGAAAUUCGUAGAUAUUCGGAAGAACACCAGUGGCGAAGGCGGCUCACUGGACCGGUAUUGACGCUGAUGUGCGAAAGCGUGGGGAGCAAACAGG
rnacentral:rRNA from 1 species